rnacentral:tRNA from 1 species
AUAUGUUCUGGGACGGAAGGAUUCGAACCUCCGAAUAGCGGGACCAAAAACCCGAUGCCUUACC